rnacentral:lncRNA from 1 species
GUUCUAGAGGCUCCACUGCUGGCAUCUGUCCAGUGAAGAGUGUGGAAGCUAUCCAAGAGGCCUUCUGAAUUCCUCUGACAUAUAUUUGAGAAACUGGGCUACUGAAAGCCCUAACCCCACUUGGCUGCAUUUUAUUUGGUAACCAGUGAGGCAAACACCCUUGCCAGACCCCUACCAUCCAUCUUGAUGUGGUUCCUGCACUGGACACUGCUUGGGUACGGGCCUGCCCAGAUCUUGGGAAUGUGGGCAGUGGCUCCUCUGAAGCACCAGUGGGCAGAGGAUGAGUCAUGGUAUCCUCCCGGCACCCCUCCCUCUGCCUUG